UACGAAGGGGGCUAGCGUUGCUCGGAAUCACUGGGCGUAAAGGGUGCGUAGGCGGGUCUUAAGUCAGGGGUGAAAUCCUGGAGCUCAACUCCAGAACUGCCUUUGAUACUGAAGAUCUUGAGUUCGGGAGAGGUGAGUGGAACUGCGAGUGUAGAGGUGAAAUUCGUAGAUAUUCGGAAGAACACCAGUGGCGAAGGCGGCUCACUGGUCCGGUACUGACGCUGAGGUGCGAAAGCGUGGGGAGCAAACAGG
rnacentral:rRNA from 1 species